rnacentral:tRNA from 1 species
GGCCUCGUAGUUCAAGGGAUAGAAUAGAAGUUUCCUAAACUUUUGAUCCAGGUUCGAGUCCUGGCGUGGCUA